AGUUAAUAGUAAAUAAGAUGUAUUACAGCUGUGUAUUGAAACUUUAUAACAGAUUUCUGAAGGCUCGUUUGUAAAGGCAGAUUUAUGAUGCUUAUAAAUAAAAAACUAAACAUUGUGAUUAUUUUAUUAUGCAGUAGAGCAAGACAUUUAAAUGUCGCAGCAAUGAAUUUGUCCUUUUUCUUUUCCCGUAUUUCCAGUUGUAGUUGAGUUUGCACGUGCUGUGAGCGGUAAUGUUGCCAAAUCCGUAGUUUUCCCUUGGAAUUCCAACAUACGAGCCACAAAGACGUUAAAUCACUAGUUGCUCGCAUUUUGUUAAACGGAUCUGGCAACCCGGUUAGUAAACACACGAGCUGUCAUUUAUGACGCUCAUUACGUGCAAACGCUGGUUUGCCGCGCAAAAAAUCUAAGAAAUCAAAAGAAAACAAAAUGGCGGCACCUAAAGUUGUUUGCUAACCCCAAAUAUGAAUACCUACUGUGUGAUUAGCAGUCUAUGGCUAGCUAACAGCAUUAAACAAUGGACAAACACAAACGUAGAGUAUUAAAAAUUAAAAACUACCCAAAACAGACAGUUUUUAUGUGUGUCUGUGUCAUCUAGUAGGAAUGAACUGAUGUUAAAGCACCAUCUCAGAGAACAGACUGUCAGGACUAAACCCCAUGAACAACGUCACUGGAUUUGCUGGGAAAGAGGCCUUAAAGACAAAACAACAGAAAUGAAUGAGCAAAACAGACUACAUGUACUAAACACCAUGGACACCGUGACUGAAUUUGCUGAAAAAGGCCCUGAAGAAGCAGAAGAAUACAGCUAAAUGAGAAUGAACUGAUGUCAAAGAUGAGCAAAACAAACUGCAUGUACUAAACACCAUGGACACCGUGACUGAAUAUGCUGAAAAAGGCCCUGAAGAAGAAGAACAAUACACCUAAAUGAGUGAGUAGCUUUGUGUGUUUACCCUUUGGGCCGCUGUGCCUGUACUGUUUAUGUUUUAAUGCAGUUGGUUUAUUACUGACGUUGGCUUAUUGAGGUAAAUUUGGUUGCAUAUUCGUCCAGUGACAACUUGUGACGCAACAUAUAUUGCUUACUGUGGUACUUUGAAUAUUCAGACUGAAAUUACGUAUGACUUCAAAACAACAUUAGCACUCUCCAGUGCUGUACCUUGAUUCUGCUAACAGGAUUUAUAGAGGUAAAGUUGGUUUUAUAUUCACUU